GACGAACGCUGGCGGCGUGCUUAACACAUGCAAGUCGAGCGGUAAGGCCCUUUCGGGGGUACACGAGCGGCGAACGGGUGAGUAACACGUGGGUGACCUGCCCUCAGCUCUGGGAUAAGCCUGGGAAACUGGGUCUAAUACUGGAUAUGACUCCACGGUGCAUGUCGUGGGGUGGAAAGCCUUGUGCGGCUGAGGAUGGGCCCGCGGCCUAUCAGCUUGUUGGUGGGGUGAGGCCUACCAAGGCGACGACGGGUAGCCGGCCUGAGAGGGCGACCGGCCACACUGGGACUGAGACACGGCCCAGACUCCUACGGGAGGCAGCAGUGGGGAAUAUUGCACAGUGGGCGAAAGCCUGAUGCAGCGACGCCGCGUGAGGGAUGACGGCC
rnacentral:rRNA from 1 species